rnacentral:lncRNA from 1 species
CCCAAUACACUUUAUCUACUGUUAGUAAAAAUUGAUAAAAAGAGAGAUGAUCCAUCAAAAAACAUACAUAAAUGCCAAAAGAGAGUUACCCCAUCCAUAUCCCAAGGUAUCAUACAUGUCCUGGCCAAAAAGAGGGAAUGCAAAAGCAGCAAUCGAUCGAACACAACAGGCAACUGCUGUCGACGAUGCUGCAUAAAUCAUAAAAGAAUCAAUUAAAUAAGUUUGGAUACCACGCCAGCCUAACAUCAAACCUAUAUUAAACAUGGCUGCGCCAAUAUCUGGACCAAUCCAGUGAGUGUGAUACUGCGCAGUCCAACCAUAAAUAAACAAGCCAGCUGGAAAGAAAAAAGUUCCCAAUAAAAUUACGGGGACUCGAAAUUCAGGUGCCAUCUUUCCAUUGUUUCUACGUUUUAGGUAUCGAAACGUUUUAUCAAUAAAUAUACCAGAUGCUUGACUGCCAAAGAUAAGGCCUAUCCCCGAAGCAAUGUAGUUUAGGCCAGCGAUGGAAGGUCGUUCAUGAUACUCUUCGGUCCACAAUGUGGGGUAUGUAGUUAAAACAAGAUAGAGAAUACCUAUAACGGUAAGUUGAGGUGUUUCAUUGAAGAAAGUAUAACUAUUUUACCUACCAUAUUGAAUAGCCAUAUACGUAGAACAUAGUAUCACGAUAGGUUGGGUGAAAAGCAUUCGUAUUGGUCUCAUUAAAGCUGGAGUGACAAGUUUAAGCCUAGGGAUAUGCUCGAGAUUCCACUCAGUAUGAUACUUAUUUGUCUUUUCAGACUUGUUGAGCUUUCGAGCUUUUUCUCCCAGCAGAGUUUUGGGAUAUGUUUCUGCAAGCAAGGGCAGAGAAAGGGCAAAUAUAAAGCCACUGAAGAUGGUUGUAGACCAAAAGAUCCACUUGUAAGUUGUAUAUUCUGCAAUGAAUCCGCUAACGACAGGGCCAAUAGUAGGACCCAAUAGAGGAGCAAGGGACAUCACUGCAACGGCCUUUCCUCUCUCGUCAGGAGUGAACAGAUCACUGAUACUGAAUAAAGAAAACGUUAGUCAUUUCAUCUUUUAAGGGAAAAAAUAUAUAUACUUACGUUCCACUACCGAGACCCAUUGGAGUGGCACUACCAAAACCAGCGAGGAAUCGAAAAAUGUACAUUUGCGCUUUUGUCCUUGCAAGACCGCAUGCCAUGUUGAAGACUUUGACAAAAGGUUAGCUGGAAAGAAGUGAAAAGGAGAAGAAAGACUUACCUAUGAAAAUCACAUUUCCAACUUGCAAUAGCAUACGACGUCCAAAAACUUCCGAUAAAGGAGCGCUAAUCAUGGGUGAAAUUGCAAACACAAGCAAAUAUAUACUUAAAAUAAGGGCCUUUUCCGUAGAAUUUUGGAUAUGAAAACGAUCUGCAAUUUGAUCCAAACAAGGAGCCACCAUGGAAGAAGCCAUGGGACCCAAGAGAGCAAAGGCAGAAACCAAGAUUAGCUGGGUCCAUUUACGAGCAUAGAUCCAAUUUUUAGGGUUUUUAGGAUCGGUUGGAGACUGCCAAGUAACUAAGAAAGGGUCUUCUUUCACGUCAAUCUCUGCAGUCUCUACUUUGUCUUGAGGUUUCUUUUCUAGAUCCAUAAAAGAAUUUUGUGAAAGAAAAAAAUUAAGCGACCAACAAUCACCAAAACGUACGCGAUGAAACUCGAUUAAGGAUGAAAAUUUUUGUAUUUGAUUUGCGAAAAAAUGGUAGCGAUUGAGAUGAAAAAAAUAAAGUUUACGCAGUCAAGAGAUGCCAAGCAAA